rnacentral:rRNA from 1 species
UACACGCUGUGACUAGCAUAUCAAUAAGCGGAGGAAAAGAAACUAACAAGGAUUCCCCUAGUAACGGCGAGUGAAGCGGGGAAGAGCUCAAAUUUGAAAUCUUAAAGGGUUUCCCUUUACGAAUUGUAGUUUAAAGAAGUGUUUUCUGUUGAGGUUUUGGUAAAAGUUCUUUGGAAUAGGACAUCAUAGAGGGUGAGAAUCCCGUAUUUGACCUUUACUUUCAACUUUGUGAUACACUUUCAAAGAGUCGGAUUGUUUGGGAAUGCAGUCCAAAAUGGGUGGUAAAUUUCAUCUAAAGCUAAAUAUUGGCGAGAGACCGAUAGCGAACAAGUACCGUGAGGGAAAGAUGAAAAGAACUUUGAAAAGAGAGUUAAACAGUACGUGAAAUUGUCAAAAGGGAAGCGUUUGACACCAGUGUUGUUUUUCUGAAAAUCAAUUAAAGAACUGUUUACUGCUAAGCUGUUUAGACUUUAUCAGCUAACUGUUUAGUUUUGAGCUUUUCUUUAAUGCACUUUUCAGUUAACAAGUCAACAUCAAUUUCUUUUGCUGUAAAAAAGCUUGAGGAAGGUGGCUUGAGAUUCGUCUUAAGUGUUUAUAGCCUCUUGCCUAUGCAGUCGGAGAGAUUGAGGUCUGCAGCGUAGAUCCUUCGGGGCUAAAUGCAUUUGUGCUAAGUUAUAGCAUUUUAUAGACAACUUGUUGACUAUGAUUUGUCUUGUAGCUUACUCGCUUAUGUUAUUUUACCUACGCUUAGGAUGUUGAAGUCAUCGUAUCGCGC